AUUGGUGUGGUAGAAACUAGAGCUGCGUUGGCGGCUGAGCCCUUGUUCUCUGCUCCCCCGGCCACCUCUGAAAUGGGAUCUGCUGUGCUUAGGACACGUCUCAGCACUGAAACCAGUGUAGCACUGAAACCAGACACUUGAAUGUCUGUCCCUCGGCCAAACCAGGGGCCACAGGAGGGCAGAGGCCAUAUCCUGUGCAUUGCUGUCCCCAGCACUGUCCCUGGCUCAACCACAGGAAUUAUCUCUUGGAAUCUCCGCAUAGGUUCAGUGUUGCUGACCUCCAACAGAUCGCAGACGGGGUGUAUGAAGGAUUCCUCAAGGCCCUGAUUGAAUUUGCCUCCCAGCAUGUCUACCACUGCGACCUGUGCACCCAGCGCGGCUUCAUCUGCCAGAUCUGCCAGCACCACGACAUCAUCUUCCCCUUUGAGUUUGACACCACAGUCAGGUGUGCCGAGUGCAAGACCGUCUUCCACCAGAGCUGCCAGGCUGUGGUGAAGAA
rnacentral:lncRNA from 1 species